AAUGUAUCUGUAUCAUCGUCAUCUGCAUGUGUGGUAAUAAUCCCCAUAACUCUGAUUUGUAUUUUUGACCAAAUUAGUGCCCUUUUCAUACUUAAAUGUUUAAAAAAAAUCGUUUUCUGGACAUAACAUUGGUACUAUACAAGCUAAUGACUGUGAAACUCAAAAUAUAUCUUUACCAUCAUCACCUGCAUGUGUGUUAACAAUCUCAAUAACUCUAAUUUGUGUUCUUAGCAGAAUUAUGCCCCUUUUUGUAUCUUCCUUUUAAAGUAGAGGUCUCUAAUUGAGACAUAUAUUAAUUUUACUGUCAAAUCGCCGAAUAGUGGAGCGCGCUGUCUGACGGAGAGCUCUUGUUUAUAUGUUGUAAUUCUUAAAGACAUUCCAACAAAUGUGUCGUAUGUUUAAGACAUUUUUGACAUUUCUUAUGUUAAUUUGUUGCGAUUUUGACAAACAUUUUAAAUUAAGUUGAUUGCUAGAGCAGUUCAGGUAUAAAUGUUUUGUAAAUGUUUUAUAUUUUCCAGCAUUAUUACUGACUGUAUGAAUGUCAUAGUUUUAUAGUAUAUUCAUAUGUUACAGUUAUAGAAUUGUAUGUUUUAUUUUUAUAGAACUUUUGACAUUUGUGUAAACUUUUUAGAAGACUGUCAAACAUACAUGUGUAAGUUUUAUUGACCAAAAGAUGUGACGUUUCAAGCAUAUAUGUACUGUCAUUUUUAUACGCCCGUUUUGAUAAGAAAAACCGGACGUAAUAUGUGAUGGCAUGUGCGUCUGUCUGUCCGUCUAUCAUAUUUCACGCCCGGAACAUAACUUUAACAACAAUAAGAGGCAUUGACUAUAAACUUAGCAUAUAGGUAGAUGACGAUGAGACGAUGUGCAGAGCGCUUGAACCGGUUCUAUAGGUCAGAGGUCGAGGUCGCAAAAUGAGCUAAAAUGUCAAAACUGAUUAUCAUGUUUUUGUCUGGAGCAUAACCAAAUAACCAUGCAAGGUAUUGAUUCAAACUUGGCAUGUAGGUAGGUGGAAAGGACACGAUGUGCAGAGAUUAUAAACCAGGUCUUUUGUCCGAAAGUAAGGUCACAAACUCGAAGGCCUGUCCGCCAUAUUUCGUGUCCGAACAUAACCUAUUAACCAUUCAAUGUAUUGAACCCCCAUUACCUCCCCCGUAAAAAAAUCGUUUAGUUUCUUACGCGCACACUCCUUCUCCCACUCCCACCUGACACCUCCCAAUAUUUGGUUUUUCUUUAAAUUUUGUUUCUGUUCACCUCUUAUAUUAAAGGUGCAUGUACUAUAAUUUUCAUUGACUUUUGCAACAUGCGUGUGUUGCAAACUUUAUUGCGUUUUUAAACCUGUACUUAAAAUAUUUAUUUCGAUAAACUUGGUAAGGCCUUAUAUUUCACAAUUGUGCAGGAAGUGAACAGUUAGUUUAUACUAAUUUAUUUGAGGUCAGUGGUGAAUCGAGUUCUACAACUUUUAUGACUUUUAUUAACCACUCUUGGCACCUCAUUCUUGACUGUAUCUUUCACUUUGAGAGUGUGAGAGGAGAGCAGCUAGUUUUCCUUUCAAUGCUUAACACCUAGCAAGGGGGUAUACUGUGACUAUUUAUCAAGCGUUUGGUGAAACAUAGCUUGGGAGCGAAUCUAUGGCCUCCAGCACUAGGAAAAGUCGUUCCACCACAAGGCUACUGAGGCGUUUGUAAGUCAUAGGAUAUAUUAGAAAUAUUUCAUUCCACAAUAAAUAUUUUAUUCUAGCAAUUAACCUAUCUAUGUUGUUUUAUAUGAUAUUAUAUUUUAUUGUUACAAUGUCUUUCAUUGUUAUAUUUACAUUUUGCUAUUUUCAUGCUUAUAUAUAAUAUAGUAAGUAUAGUGUAGCAUUGGUAAUAGUACAUUUUAUGCAUUCAUUUGACCAUGCAAUAUAGUUUAUGAUCGAAGUUUCUAAACAUUUUUCAAAUUGUAAUGAAACUUCACAACCAUGCUUAUGUUUUCUUUCAGCAAUAUUUAUUUGUUUUGGUUUAAAACUUACCUGAGCACUUUCUGCUCAGGCUGAGCUAUUGUGAUUGCUCAUCGUCCAUUGUCCGUCCGUCCGUCCACACUUUCCUUCAAAGAAACCAUUUGGUGGAAGUUGAUGAAACUUGGCCUUCAUGUUCCUUUGGUGGUCCUCUUUCAAAAUUGUUCAAACGGUUCCGCUUGGUUGCACAUAGAAACAUCUUCUAACAACAUUUCCUCUUAAACCAACUGGUCCGAUUUCAAAAUAAUUUCACACAAACGGUUCUUAUGUAACCCUCUGUCAAGGUUGUUUUCAAGUUAUUAUGGUUCGUCCAGAGGACGUGGUCACUUUUCCGUAUGUGUUUAUAGUGGAAACUUUAAAGAUCUUCUUGAUGAAACUGCUGGCCCGAUUCUGUAAUAAUUUCGCACAAAUGGUUCUUAUGUAACCCUAUGCCAGGAUUGUUCAAAUUAUCACGAUUCGCCAAAAAACAUGGUCGACAUGGGACGUCAUCUCUUUUCCCUACAUGUAAGUAGUUGAAACUUUAAAAAUCUUCUCUUAUGAAACUGCAGGUCUGAUUUUGAAAUAAAUUCUUACAAGUAGUCCUUGUGUAAUCAUGGCGUGGUCUAUUUUCCCUGUAUUUAUAUAGUGGAAAGUUUAAACAUCUUGUAUGAAACUGCUGGUAAGAUUUUUAAACAGUUUCACACAAAUGGUCCUUGUGUGACCAUUUACCAAGAUUAUUUAAUUGUUAAGAUUUGCAAAAAAGCAUGGCCAUAAGGGUGUAAGGCUACUUUCCGUAUAUGUAUAUAGCGAAAACGUAAUAAAUAUUUUUGUAUGAAACUGCUUGCCUGAUUUUGAAAUAAUUUCAUACAAAUGCUCCUUGUGUAACCCUGUACCAAGAUUGUUCAGAUUAUUUUGUUUCGUCAAAAACAUGACCUCCAGGGGCGUGACCUCUUUUUCAUGAGUGUAUAUAUUGGAAAUUUUAAAAAUAGUCUUGUCAGAAGCAGCAGGCCCAAUUUGAAAAUAAUAUUACCCAAAUGUUUCUUGAGUGACCCUUUACGUAGAUUGUAGAAAUUAUAUCAUUCUGUUUCAUCAGUAGGUGUGGUCUUUUUAGCCCUUAUUUCUGUAGUGAAAACUUUAAAAAUCUUCAUGUUUGAUACUGUCAUAUAGCAUCAUUUCCCCAAUAUCAACCCCUGCCCCCACCCCAAAAAAGCAAACCAAAAGAAAAAAACAGACAUAAAUAUUUCCUGCCUAUAUUUAUUAUGUAGAAACUUUUAACUGUUCAAGCAAGCAACUUAACUGCAGGGAGCGGUAUAGGACCAUCAUGGCCCUUUUGUUUAAAUGUUUAUCGGAGAAUAUCUUAUGAGUGGAUGUUCAUUUGUUUUAUUGUACAGUAAAACGUAUUUGGGUCGAGAUCACAAAAGAGUGAGCAAAAUACUUUUCCAUGGUUUCGAGCAGUGUAAAUGUAGAAAAUUUAUGAAAAAAGACUUGUACAUUAUGAAUUCUAUGCGUCCCAUGUGGUUCUGGGACAGCUUGUGUAUAAAAAGAAUUGGAACAACUGUCUUAUAAUUACAUGAUUGUUAAAGACGACUAAUAUGGUCUGAACACCUUGUUUUGCUGUAUCUUCGUGAUUAGUACUUAUUACAGCAGGUUUAAAAUGUUAAUUCCAUACGUUAUAUUUUAUCUUAAUGUAAAUGAGAUGUGAGGCCAGUUUUUAGUCCUGUUAUGGCGCUUAUAGCCUGUACUGUGUUGGUGCACUGUAAAAACUGAAUUAGCAAAUCGGCAGCCAUUUAUGCUGUAGCAAGCGGCGUUUUACUGUAUCCAACGUCAAGUUUUUAUACAACAGAUACGAAAUAGUGGAGCCAUUAGACCGUCCGUCUGUCUUUCACUCCCGUCCGUCCAUCAUGUCAGCUCCAUAUUUUCUUAUCUGCUGGGAAAUUUUCAUAAAACUAGCACCAGUUGUUUACAACUUCGACUUACAGGGCGCACAACCCAGGUCCAGCCCACCCGCUUAGCUCAAUAGGUGGGUGGGGCGGGCCGGGGGAGUCGUACGUUCGAUUCCCGGGCGGGGGUAUGUUCUUCAUGACGAUUUGAAGAAAGACAUUGUAUUGAAAUCAUUCGUCCUCCACCUCUGAUUCAUGUGGGGAAGUUGGCAGUUACUUGCGGAGAACAGGUUUGUACUGGUACAGAAUCCAGGAAACUGGUUAGGUUAACUGCCCGCCGUUACAUACCUGAAAUACUGUCUACACACAACACAGAUAAAAACGUGACAUUGGAACAAUAUUUUGAGUCCUAUAUUAUGUUGAAAUAUCUAAACUGUUUGCGACAUAAUUGAUAUAACUAUCAAAGAUAUAUUAACGUAACGCAGAGAUGAAAUUCUCAUAGCAAAUAUAAAGUUUUCACUUUUGUUUCACUUCCAAAUACUUUAGCUAAUGAAGGUAACGUUUGUGGUUAAAGUUUGCGACAAUUUAUGAUUGAAUGUAUAAGCAAUAAAAUGUUAUGUACCAAUGACUGAAGUAUUUAUUUCAGUCGACGUUCAAGUCUUACAAAAUCAAGACAGUUGAAAAAGAAUCACAAUUUAGCAUAGAAGUGACUGAAAAGGGGCAUUAUAGGCAACAUACAGAUUUUACUUUUUUAAGACUUAAGUACAGUUAACUUAUCCCAGAACUAAUUAGGUGAUGCAACUGGUCCUUUAUUAUGAAUUUUGGUUAGCCAAGCAUUUACACAGUGUAAGACUAAUACCAAAUGAUUUGUAAUAAAAUUAGUACAGCCAAGACAGAGACACAAAAUUAUGCAAUUUUGACACCCUUACUUAUUAGUGUGUACGCUUUGGUAUGAUAAUAGUUUGUUAAUAUUGUAUUCAAUUCACAAUCACAAUUUGCAAUUUUGUUCAAACCUGUUUAAUGUGCCAAUAUAAUUUCGGGGAUAUGAGAUAUUAAAGUAUAGAUAAAUGUUGAGUUUGUUACUUAUAUUUAAAAUAUCAAUAUAAAAGUUAUGAGUUAAAGCAUUAUGACCCUUGAUAUUUAUAUCAAAGGACUGUCACAUAUUUUGUUAGGGACAUAAUAUAUACUAAUUUCUUGUUGAAUCGUAUUUUCAGCAAACGUAUGCUGAUAAACAACUAUUAAAUAUAUAAGAAACUAAAAUUGUUUUGAUUGUUUUAAUAAACUCUUUUUAUGGCUCUAACUGUAUAAAUUCAUGUGGUGUAUUGACGGCAGUACUUUUCUAACCUGAUGUAGUUAUGUUUAACAUCUUUUUGGACAGCAUGCUGCUUUCAUGUACGAAAUUUUACAGCUGUAAAUUGUUAAAAAAAAGUCAUGAUUAUUUCAAAUUUACACCUGUAGAUUUUAUAUAACAACACUGAUUUUACGGCUGUAUAUGUCAAUUUACAACUGUAAAACGAUCGACGGUAAAACAGUUCGAAUUAUGCAAAUGUGAUCCAGCUGUAAAAUGAAAAAGUUACAGCUGUAAAUAUGCCCAAAGUUACAGCUGCAGAAAUGUUACAUGUGUUGAAAAUUUGCAUUAUUUUAAGGGACGAAAGCAUGGGUAUAAAAAAUUUAGGAUGAAUUAUACUUCUCUAGAAAGGGUAGCAUCUACUAUAAAAAUGGCAAAAUAAAUGAUCUAGUACGUAAAGAACUAUAUGAAAGAGUAGGAUAGAAUAUUAAUCAGAAACUAUGCAUCAGAUCUUGUUUAUAAAACUUCAUUUGUCAUGAAAACAUAAUUUUAUGACAGUCUUGUAAUUAUCAGCUUCAAAUGCAGUGUAAAUAGUUAAUGUAUGUACUUACACAUGUCAUUUUACAACAAUAUUAUUAAUCAAACAAAUCAAAUCAAAACUUAUUUGUUGUCGGAGAGAUUUCAACAAAUUAACACAAGCUAUGUAUAGCUUUUUUACCGACACUUGUAUUUAUUCCUUAACGGUAAUAAUUGCAAUAUAUUAGAGGAUGUGGUGUCACUGUGAAUUUCUGUUAUAUCCCGUCAAAAUGCAUUAAAGAUGGCUGACAUAAUACUCAUGUUUCCCUCCAAAAAAGUUACAGCUGUAAAUUUGAGACAUUAUCAUUUUACAACUGUUAUUUUAUGGCUGUAUUAAAAAAACCUGCAUGUUUAAAAUUGUAUUUCUGGUCAUUUUCCACUUACAGGUAUUUUACAGCUGUAAUUUCAAAAUACAGGUCUUUUACAGACGUUUUACAGGUAUAAUACAGGUCCUAAUUUCGUACAGGUUAUUAGUUUUUCACAUAAAAUUAAAAGCCUUAUGGAACUUAUUUACCUAUGUAAAAUGUGCAAAAUCAUUAUCAAAGUUCAGGAGUAAAAGCUGAGAGUUACAUAAACAGAGGCUUGAUUUGGGAACGUAGUUUAAAAAAAAUUUAAAAUUUACAUUCCAUGCUACUUUUUCCUUUUUAAUUCCUUUGCUUCUCGUUAUUGUUCUUUAUAAUUCCUAUUUUCGUUGCAAUACUCCUGCCCAGUAGGAGAGUUUGUAUUGCUUUACAAUAUUUUCCAUUUUCUGAGUCUUGUAACCCUUUCAACUUUCACAGUGUAAACAAUGUUACUGUCUUUAAGAUAGUUUUCUAUACAUAUAACUGCGUGUUCAUUGGUGUGUUUGCCACUGACUGUUGCAAGGCGAUGCCCGACUGAGUUCAUGCAAUUGUUCGUUUUCCUUGGUCCAUGUUUUGUGGAUAUGUUUAUCAUACACACAACCAUACAUACUCUUAUGUUUUUAGUGAUAAUAAAGAGGAUAUGCAACAUGCAUAAGAUUGUUUCAAAAUAUAUUGUGAUAAUGGAAACUUUCAAUAAAUGUUGAUAAAACAAAAAUUGUAAUCUUUAGCAAAGGAAGACUAGCCAAGAAAUCUACAAUUUAAAAUUGGAAAUGAUACUGUAGAAAUAGUAGAUAAUUAUAAAUAUCUUGGUAUAUAUAUUUUUGCAGGAGCGGAGUUUUUUUUACAAGCCAAAAGACAUACUGCCGAACAGGCAAACAAAGCAUUAUUCUGUCUUUUGAGGAAGAUUAGAACUUUAUCACUACCUUUUGACAUGCAGAUAGAUCUUUUUGAAAAAAACAGUAAAACCAAUACUUUUAUAUGGAAGUGAAAUCUGGGGCUUUGGUAAUAUUGAUGUUAUAGAAAGAGUUCCAUUAAAAUUCUAUAAGUACGUUUUCAGUUUAAAAAAGUCGACACCAUCCUAUAUGAUCUAUGGUGAAUUAGGCAUCACUCCAGUUUCUGUAGAUAUAAAGAAUAGAAUUGUAGCUUUUUGGACAAAACUUGUAGAAAACACUGGUGAUGUAGCGCAACAAAAGGUAUCAUCUAAAAUUUAUCAGUUGAUUUAUGAAUUACAUGCGUCUAAAGAAACUAAAUCCAAAUGGAUUGAGAAUAUCAAAAAUAUACUUUGUACAUCAGGAUACUCAGGAAUAUGGUAUAGUCAAAGUUUUUCAAAUCCCAAGUGGUUAAUUAAAUCAUGUUCUCAAAAACUAAGAGAUAUUUUCAUACAAACCUGGUAUGCGGAAAUAGAAAGAACAUCAAAUACAAAUAUGUAUAAGCUCUAUAAUACUGUAUAUAAACGAAACACGUAUAUCAAUACUUUACCUACAUAUUUAUGUAAAAGAAUGAUGUCAUUUUUAACAAGAAACCAUCGUUUACCAAUAGAAGUUGGAAGAUGGAGAGGAACACCUUCAAACGAAAGAAAAUGUUUACUCUGUAAUGAUAUUGGUGAUGGAUUACAUUAUGUAUUAGUAUGUUCACACUUUAAUGAUAUAAGAAAGAAAUAUAUUGACAAGAAGUAUUACCAACGACCAAAUAUCAUAAAAUUUGAAUCAUUACUAUCAAAUGAUAACUAUAAAGAUCUUAGGAACUUAAGUUUAUUUAUGAAUAAGAUAAUGAAAACUAUAAAUGUUUAAGGCAAACUGUAUAAUUGUUAUAUAUUGUGAAAAGUACCCUAUUGUUUGAUACGUAUAUGCUGGAAUACUAUUUCAUUGUCUGAUACAUUUACGCUGAAAUAGAAUUAUUUCAUUGUUUUGUUAGUACAUUGUUACUGUAAUGGUAAAUUUGUUAUGUACUAAAAACUAUUUGUCUAGAUGUAUCUUUUAUAUCAAUGUCCUUGGUAACAUGAAUCAUUGUAAUGGUAAAUUUGUGAUGUACUGAAAAGUAUACAUGUAUCUUUUGAAUGAAUGUUCUUGGUUACAUGAAUCAUAAUCUUAGAAACCAUUUAAACAGAAGAUAAUCUGGCGUUCUCCUAAUACUAGCUAGUUUUCAUUAAUAAUCAACAUGAAGGAAACUGUAAAGCCUUUGGAAAGACUACAAUAGUAAACAAAUAAAUUUUAAUUUUAUAUCGCGAUGGUAAAUAAUCUAAAUUGUCUUCAGAAACAAUACAUACAUUUAUGAUCCAUAUAACAAAUAAUUAUAUAGUGUAUAAUAAAUUAGGCUGCCGUUUCCUAAUAUAUCGCUGCACUAAACAUACAUAUGUUACCGCCAUUGAUAUUGUUUGUAAUGUUUUUUCUUUACUGUGAUGCUUUGCUGUUCAUUAUGUAUGAGCCUAAGUAUUGAAAUAAAAAAUAAGAAGUUA
rnacentral:lncRNA from 1 species